rnacentral:rRNA from 1 species
GAUGAACGCUGGCGGCGUGCCUAAUACAUGCAAGUCGAGCGAACGGACGAGAAGCUUGCUUCUCUGAUGUUAGCGGCGGACGGGUGAGUAACACGUGGAUAACCUACCUAUAAGACUGGGAUAACUUCGGGAAACCGGAGCUAAUACCGGAUAAUAUUUUGAACCGCAUGGUUCAACAGUGAAAGACGGUCUUGCUGUCACUUAUAGAUGGAUCCGCGCUGCAUUAGCUAGUUGGUAAGGUAACGGCUUACCAAGGCAACGAUGCAUAGCCGACCUGAGAGGGUGAUCGGCCACACUGGAACUGAGACACGGUCCAGACUCCUACGGGAGGCAGCAGUAGGGAAUCUUCCGCAAUGGGCGAAAGCCUGACGGAGCAACGCCGCGUGAGUGAUGAAGGUCUUCGGAUCGUAAAACUCUGUUAUUAGGGAAGAACAUAUGUGUAAGUAACUAUGCACAUCUUGACGGUACCUAAUCAGAAAGCCACGGCUAACUACGUG